AACGAACGCUGGCGGCAUGCCUAACACAUGCCAGUCGAACGAGACCUUCGGGUCUAGUGGCGCACGGGUGCGUAACGCGUGGGAACCUGCCUUUAGGUUCGGAAUAACUCAGAGAAAUUUGAGCUAAUACCGGAUGAUGUCUUCGGACCAAAGAUUUAUCGCCUUUAGAUGGGCCCGCGUUGGAUUAGCUAGUUGGUGGGGUAAAGGCCUACCAAGGCGACGAUCCAUAGCUGCUCUGAGAGGAUGAUCAGCCACACUGGGACUGAGACACGGCCCAGACUCCUACGGGAGGCAGCAGUGGGGAAUAUUGGACAAUGGGCGAAAGCCUGAUCCAGCAAUGCCGCGUGAGUGAUGAAGGCCUUAGGGUUGUAAAGCUCUUUUACCCGAGAUGAUAAUGACAGUAUCGGGGGAAUAAGCUCCGGCUAACUCCGUG
rnacentral:rRNA from 1 species